CCAGUGUGUGUGCGCGCGUGCAUGUGUGCACGCACGCCAGACGGACGCCUUGUGCAGGCCCCAGAGAAUACGUGCUAGCAUAAGUCGCAGGGUCUUGCUGCACCUCCCCCCCUGCCCCUUGCCCUGCAGCUGGUUUGUCCUGGGGGAGCCCAGUGCACCCGGCUCCUCUGCUGCUCCUGCUGCCUCUCUGAGUGGCCCGGAGCACGAGGCAGCGCCCAGCCAGCUUCCGUCAGCGCUCUGCGGCGGCUAACGUGUACUCAGGCGACUUGGGAGCGAGGUAUUAUUUACCCUGCUGACGUCAAUGAGAACAUAUUAUCCACUGUCCUUUUCUGUAGCCUGAAAUGAGCAUCAGCACUUAGGGAACACAGCCACCUUCCAUACUUCAAAAAUCCCACCCGAGGCCUGACGAGGUGAAGGCCCUACCUCAUCCGCCUGACAUGCAUCUCACCCAGGCUCUUAGAAAAGAACUUGUUUUUAUUUUAAUUCAAGAGGGUGGAAACGUAAAAACAGUACAUUUUCUUUGCAGAAAAUUACCCCCAUUUAAAUUACUGUUUGAUACAAAGAUCAUUUAUUAAACCACAUUUUAGGCAAUUUUCUAACAUUGAGUGACAGGUUACAUUUUGAUUUUUUCACAUUGGAGCUAUUAUGAUUUGCACUCAAAAUACAAAGCUAUUGAACUCACCACUUUUUCUUAGUAAUUAAUAAAAAAGCACACAGGAAAAAUAACUACAAUUAGAUUAACUUUAUCAAAAGUAACUCACAAACCAAACAUCCAGCAAAGGCCACCCUCCUCCCUUCAGCAAUAAGCAAAUAUUCUUGCCGUUUCUACAAAGUGCAAAUAACUCCGGAUCACUUUUAUUUCUUAAACUGCAGUCCCCAAAGAGAAGCAAAUCUCCUUUUCUCUCUGCUGCUUUUGCCUUCGGAGAUGCUGGUGGAGGCGGAUUUCUUUUACCCUUGGUGGUGGGAAGGCCUCCCCACUGGAAUUUCCUUGACUGAGCGAAUCUUCGAGAGACAGGCAUCCCACAGCCAGCGGCGAGUCCCAGGUCUCUGUAGUUGCUAAUGUAACAUCAUUCCAAUCUGGGGUCAUAUUUUUCCAGGAUGUUAUUUUGCACUUCUAUUUUUAAAGCUCCUGCCUACCCACCCACUUUGCCUCUGAAAAGACAAAAUCUUCAAUCAAAGUAUGUUAUUUGUUUUAACCCUACAAGUGUCUAAUUGGCAUUUCUCCUCGAUGGGCCUUCACUGUAAAGAAACGUUACGCCCCUCCUCAGGACCAGGCUGGGUCCAUGAUUCUUCUCUGUGCAGCCCCCUUUCUUGGGGUUGGGUUUGUUGGCCUGCAGUGGGGGCCCAGAGCUGUGCAGUUUGGCCCCUUGGCAAUCAAGGAAGGGUGGGUCCUUCUAUCAUAUGCUCCUGUAGGAAAUCACUAUAUCGCGCAACUUGGAGAAACUAGACAUGUUGAUGUGAACCUAACUUCUGUAGUUAACUGGACACUGGAAGGAUGGCAGUCUGUGGGGUCUGUGUCCCCUUAGCCUUGUUCAUGCAGGGCCACCUGGACAACUGCAGUUGUCACCUGGAGGGCACCUCUUUCCCAAAGCCAAGCAGCUGUCAAGUGGACAACAAGGUUGUGGGGACAGUGUCACAUUCACCCAAUGCUUCACCAUGAUGGGGACUCUGUUUAUACAGCUGUUUGCUCAUGAAGAGUCCACUGCUACCAAGGAGGGCAAAGGGCGCCCAGCGAGAAGCCGGAAAACCCACGAGCUUGUCCUGGCCGCUCCGCACACGAGCUCUGUGCACUUGGACAAGUCACGUCAACAAGUCAUGUGUUUGCCAAGAGCUUGGCUUUCCUCAGCUGUAAAAUGAGGACUCUACCUGCCCAAAUGACUCCAUGGAAUUGUGAGGAUCAGAAGAGCUGGCCUGUGAAAGUGCUGGCCUAUCGGUGCAGGUGUCAGCUAUUGCUCCUCUCCCCAGGCGAGUGGAACGUCGGGCAGGAACCGGCACAGUGGGCGCUGGCUAGGGCGCUGCUGCCUGUUGCUCAGUGUCUGCAACGGGACCUGCGUAUCAGCUGCACGUAAAUACCAGAGACACACUUGCCCGACUAGAAAUGGCAGAACUAGUGCUUUUUUUCCCAAAGCAGAGACUAAUACCCCUGGAUUAAAAAAAGAACAUAAACAAAAAAGAAAGUACCACACAUAUUGCACUUUUUGCUGAAUGAAAUUUUUACCUCACGUUCAUUUCACCAAAGUCUCUUCAGAGGAGCCUGGUUUACAAAGUAAUAAAGCUAAUGAUUAUUAUACA